CCUACGGGAGGCAGCAGUGGGGAAUAUUGCGCAAUGGCCGAAAGGCUGACGCAGCGACGCCGCGUGGGGGAUGAAGCAUUUCGGUGUGUAAACCCCUGUUGCUCGGGACGAACAACUGGUUUUGACCAGUCUGACGGUACCGGGUGAGGAAGCACCGGCUAACUCCGUGCCAGCAGCCGCGGUAAUACGGAGGGUGCGAGCGUUGUCCGGAAUCACUGGGCGUAAAGGGCGCGUAGGCGGUCUGCUAAGCGUGUGGUGAAAGCUCGGGGCUCAACCCUGAGUCGGCCAUGCGAACUGGUGGACUAGAGCACUGUAGAGGCAGGUGGAAUUCCGGGUGUAGCGGUGGAAUGCGUAGAGAUCCGGAAGAACACCGGUGGCGAAGGCGGCCUGCUGGGCAGUAGCUGACGCUGAGGCGCGACAGCGUGGGGAGCAAACAGGAUUAGAUACCCUGGUAGUCCACGCCGUAAACGAUGGGCACUAGGUGCUUGGGGGAGCGACCCCCCGAGUGCCGGCGCUAACGCAUUAAGUGCCCCGCCUGGGGAGUACGACCGCAAGGUUGAAACUCAAGGAAUUGACGG
rnacentral:rRNA from 1 species